UGGUGCUCUGCUUUCCUGCAGGUGGUUCUUUUUCAACCUUAUUCCUCAAAACGUGACCAGCUUCUUCAUAGCUUUCCAAGGCUGGGAAGCAGAGUUUGUAGAAUAGAGUGCACAGGCCUCUCGUCUCCCAGUUGUGUGCAGAGUUUAGUUCUGACUCUCAUGGCUGUGACUUCAUGGCUGUGACUUCUCCUCUCCUAUUUGCUGACUCGGUUAAAUUGCAGCCUCCAGCCCCUAUGGCCUGUCUGACUCUAAUACCCCUGGUCACCUAGCUAAUGCUGGUACCAUGAUGGACCUGUCUGGCUGAAGUUGGAGCCCUGAAGGGGAUGCAGCUGCUAUGGGAAAUGCCAGUCAAGACAGAGAGGUAAAAUGAAGAUGAAGAAUGUUCUGACAGUCUGAUAUUUAAGAAAAAAAUUCUCAUUUGCAGACAUCAUUGAAGUCCCAUAGAGUUGGUGAGUUAAACUGGCAUAUUUCCUUUUUAUUCAAUACUAGCUAAAGUUAGUACUGUAUUAUAAAUUACUUGUUGCCCACAAGUC